rnacentral:rRNA from 1 species
CCUGGCGGCCUUAGCGCGGUGGUCCCACCUGACCCCAUGCCGAACUCAGAAGUGAAACGCCGUAGCGCCGAUGGUAGUGUGGGGUUUCCCCAUGCGAGAGUAGGGAACUGCUAGGC